AACAACAACUUUUGAAAAACAAGCUGGUGUCAGCAGGGAUGUAUAAUAGACAUUAUUACAUCCCUGGUGUCAGCAAUAAUGAAUAUUGAGCUAAAUUUAAUUCAGCAACAUUAAUAUAAAGAAGUGAAAGACUUAUGAUGAUAGUGUAAAAUGUCUUGUGUGAUGAAAACAAUGUGUUUUUUACAAGUACAAUGUGGAAAUCAACAAUAAGCUGGUUGGAAAGGAGGUUGAACUGCCUGUUGUUUUUUUGGAAUACUGAAGAACAGUUUUAACAGGUUAAACUCUUUCCACGAGGCAAAAUUUACAUUGAUGGGAAGAUCCUUUGGAAAGAAUGUGCACUAUCGCCUGCCUGAUGUAUGGACUUUUAUACCUGCUUUUUACCCUGCACGAGCUGGCAAACUUGAGGGGAACAAGAGUGGGGAAACCUCGCCCUGUCCUUUACCAAGAAAGCUGGAUUUGUUGAGAGAUCAACUGGCGAAAGAGAUGCAGAUCAACUGGCGAAAGAGAUCCUCAAGAAGAGAAGGACACAAGUAGCAUCAAUGGUACAUGUCGCUCCAGCACCUGCUUUCCAGGUCCCCCCACCCGCCAAGAUCAGGUCUAGGUCCCUGCACUGGCUGCCGUCCAGGUCCCCUAGCGGGUCUUUCCAGUGGCUGCUGUGCAGGUCCCACCACCGUAUGCCGUCAAGGUC